AGAGUUUGAUCAUGGCUCAGAAUCAACGCUGGCGGCGUGCCUAACACAUGCAAGUCGAACGAGAAAGGGGAGCAAUCCCUGAGUACAGUGGCGACCGGGUGAGUAACACGUGACUACCUACCCUUGAGUGGGGGAUAACCUCGGGAAACCGAGGCUAAUACCGCAUAAUAUCGAGAGAUCAAAGGAGCAACCCGCUCUUGGAGGGGGUCGCGGCUGAUUAGCUAGUUGGUGAGGUAAUGGCUCACCAAGGCGAAGAUCGGUAUCCGGCCUGAGAGGGCGCACGGACACACUGGAACUGAAACACGGUCCAGACUCCUACGGGAGGCAGCAGUGGGGAAUUUUGCGCAAUGGGGGAAACCCUGACGCAGCAACGCCGCGUGGAGGAUGAAGCUCCUUGGAGUGUAAACUCCUUUCGACCGGGACGAUAAUGACGGUACCGGUGGAAGAAGCACCG
rnacentral:rRNA from 1 species